ACACUGCUGAGGAGUCCCAUAAUAGGAUGAGACGGCCGUCCAGUGC
rnacentral:hammerhead_ribozyme from 1 species